UGACUGACCGAUAGUGAACCAGUACCGUGAGGGAAAGGCGAAAAGAACCCCGGCGAGGGGAGUGAAAAAGAACCUGAAACCGUGUACGUACAAGCAGUGGGAGCACGCUUAGGCGUGUGACUGCGUACCUUUUGUAUAAUGGGUCAGCGACUUAUAUUCUGUAGCAAGGUUAACCGAAUAGGGGAGCCGAAGGGAAACCGAGUCUUAACUGGGCGUUAAGUUGCAGGGUAUAGACCCGAAACCCGGUGAUCUAGCCAUGGGCAGGUUGAAGGUUGGGUAACACUAACUGGAGGACCGAACCGACUAAUGUUGAAAAAUUAGCGGAUGACUUGUGGCUGGGGGUGAAAGGCCAAUCAAACCGGGAGAUAGCUGGUUCUCCCCGAAAGCUAUUUAGGUAGCGCCUCGUGAAUUCAUCUCCGGGGGUAGAGCACUGUUUCGGCAAGGGGGUCAUCCCGACUUACCAACCCGAUGCAAACUGCGAAUACCGGAGAAUGUUAUCACGGGAGACACACGGCGGGUGCUAACGUCCGUCGUGAAGAGGGAAACAACCCAGACCGCCAGCUAAGGUCCCAAAGUCAUGGUUAAGUGGGAAACGAUGUGGGAAGGCCCAGACAGCCAGGAUGUUGGCUUAGAAGCAGCCAUCAUUUAAAGAAAGCGUAAUAGCUCACUGGUCGAGUCGGCCUGCGCGGAAGAUGUAACGGGGCUAAACCAUGCACCGAAGCUGCGGCAGCGACACUAUGUGUUGUUGGGUAGGGGAGCGUUCUGUAAGCCUGUGAAGGUGUGCUGUGAGGCAUGCUGGAGGUAUCAGAAGUGCGAAUGCUGACAUAAGUAACGAUAAAGCGGGUGAAAAGCCCGCUCGCCGGAAGACCAAGGGUUCCUGUCCAACGUUAAUCGGGGCAGGGUGAGUCGACCCCUAAGGCGAGGCCGAAAGGCGUAGUCGAUGAGAAACAGGUUAAUAUUCCUGUACUUGGUGUUACUGCGAAGGGGGGACGGAGAAGGCUAUGUUGGCCGGGCUACGGUUGUCCCGGUUUAAGCGUGUAGGCUGGUUUUCCAGGCAAAUCCGGAAAAUCAAGGCUGAGGCGUGAUGACGAGGCACUACGGUGCUGAAGCAACAAAUGCCCUGCUUCCAGGAAAAGCCUCUAAGCAUCAGGUAACAUCAAAUCGUACCCCAAACCGACACAGGUGGUCAGGUAGAGAAUACCAAGGCGCUUGAGAGAACUCGGGUGAAGGAACUAGGCAAAAUGGUGCCGUAACUUCGGGAGAAGGCACGCUGAUAUGUAGGUGAGGUCCCUCGCGGAUGGAGCUGAAAUCAGUCGAAGAUACCAGCUGGCUGCAACUGUUUAUUAAAAACACAGCACUGUGCAAACACGAAAGUGGACGUAUACGGUGUGACGCCUGCCCGGUGCCGGAAGGUUCAUUGAUGGGGUUAGCGCAAGCGAAGCUCUUGAUCGAAGCCCCGGUAAACGGCGGCCGUAACUAUAACGGUCCUAAGGUAGCGAAAUUCCUUGUCGGGUAAGUUCCGACCUG
rnacentral:rRNA from 1 species